rnacentral:rRNA from 1 species
GUACGGAAGGCAGCAGUGAGGAAUCUUGCGCAAUGGGCGAAAGCCUGACGCAGCGACGCCGCGUGACUGAUGAAGUCUUUCGGGAUGUAAAAGUCUUUUCUGAGGGAAGAAGGAUGUGACGGUACCUCAGGAAUAAGCCCCGGCUAACUACGUGCCAGCAGCCGCGGUAAUACGUAGGGGGCGAGCGUUGUCCGAAUUCACUGGGCGUAAAGCGCGCGUAGGCGGGUUUUUAAGUUGUGGGUGAAAUCCCGGGGCUCAACUCCGGAACUGCCUGCAAAACUGGAAGCCUUGAGGUAUGGAGAGGGAAGUGGAAUUCCUGGUGUAGCGGUGAAAUGCGUAGAUAUCAGGAGGAACACCCGUGGCGAAGGCGGCUUCCUGGCCAUAUCCUGACGCUGAGGUGCGAAAGCUAGGGGAGCGAACGGGAUUAGAUACCCUCGUAU